ACGAAUGACGGAAAUUUGGACUGAGCCAACCAGAAUUCGCGAUUCCCUUGCCACCAAGUGCCGGUGGAACGGAGAGAGGGCCGCCGAAGGUUCUUGGGAGGGGUCCCCAGAAGUUGAGAAGCUCUGGACUGGGGUGCCUCUGAGAGAAAUUGUCACCAAAGAAAAUAGUUUGGUUGGCUGGUUUUCUGAGGCUUGGUGACAGCACUGGGCAGGCUGAGUAGGGCUGAGCUCUGACAGGGACUGAUGAGGCCUGGAACAGCAGGGAUGUGCAUAGACUAACAAUAUCUUUUCUUUUUUUCUUUCUGGCAUUUAAAAAGUGUCAGAUUACACUGUGAAUAAAUCUAUAACAAAAUGUUAUUAAAGUAAGUGAGUACUACUUUGGCAACCUCGUAAGUUCACAGGCUUUCCAAAGGAAAGCUGGCUGAGGAUUAUUUCAGGAUGCCUGGACUUGCAUCCUAAGAGUCAGGCUUUUCCCUGUUCUGCUGCCUCUAAUAGUACUGAGAGAAGGGCUAAGGUAAACCAGUGUGAGAUUUUUCACUUCCGCUGCCCCUUUCACUUUUGACCUCAGCACUACCAUGUGAAAAAGGCAAGUUAGGAAACAACCCAUAUCCAUCAACAGAUGCAGAAGUGGUACAUCCAUACAAUGGUAUAUUACUCAGCCAUGAAAAGGAAGUAAAUUCAGACACAUGCAACCAUAUGGAUGGACCUGAAAAAUAUUAGGCUAAGUGAAAUAAGCCAGACACAAAAGGACAAUUAUGUGUGAAUCCAGUUAUAUGAAAUAUCUUGAAUAGACAAAUUCAUGGACUUAGAAAGUAGACUAAAGCUUAUGAAAGGCUAGGGGAAGGGGAAAUGGGGAGUUACUGUUAAUGGGCAUAGAGAUUCUGUUUGGUGUAUGACACAUUUUGGAGAUGGAUAGUGAUGAUAGUUGUACAGUAUGGUGCCCCUGAAGUACACAUGUAAAAAUGGUUAAUAUGGCAAAUGUUAUAUAUAUAAUUUUUUUGACACACACACCCCCACACACACUGUGGGCAGGGCCAAUGGCACAGUUCUUCAUUAAAGGCUCUGAAAAACAAUCACAUCAUCCUUUAUAUAUCUCCCUGGGAGAGUCUUAGGAUUAUCUUGGUUUCCUCAAUCUAAUUAAACCAUGAAACCAUCCAAUUGAGUGGACUUUUUAAUCCUUAUUCUGUAAGUUAUGAAACUUCAGGGGUUAAGUCAACAUUGCAUAAGUUAAGUAAUUAUGUCAAGCUUACUAAAUUAAGCAUGGGGGAAUAUAAACAAAGUUCAACACUUAUUCCACAUUUAUCCACUGGGUUCUACUCUCCUGGUACCAAAGAAGAAGAAUUUAGUACUUAUCUCCUUUAUGCUUGUUUUUUUUUUCUUCCCGUUAUCUGAGGGGCUUUAAUUUCCUAAAUCACAGGUAGUAGAUAGACUUUAGAAUAGCAUAAGGAAAUUUGUGGUUAGAGAGAUCACUUUUUGAGGGGUCUAGAUAUUUAAGAAUACCUCUAGACAAGGACAGAUAACAGAAUUUCUUUGGUCUGCACACCAGCUUUAAUUAGGCAAUGGUUAGUUAAAAUGCAUUUAUAGGACAUCCUAAGUCAAACAUAAAUUUGUCAUUUAUUUUAUCUGCUGUAAAAGGAUAACCACACAACUUCGUUCUUAGGUAUUGUCUCUUGGUUAUUUACAUGAAUUAUUUAUCUUAUGUCUGGAAAUUUAAUACAUGUCAUAGAGCUGCAAAUUACACAAUCCAUCUUAGGUUUUGUAGUUUGCUGUCUAAGUGGGCACUCAAUCUCAGCUAUUAGUUUUAUUUAUUAAACUCUGCUCAAGACGCAGAGGUUUGACCUCAUUUUACAUUAUGCUAAAAACAUAGACAUGGUUAGUUUAAGAUGUUGGAUGCAAUGAAAGUGAAAAGAGAACCAAUUUAAGUGAAAGUGAAAUGCUGUGCCAAUCCUGCCUUUCAGGAUUGUGGGAUGAGACUAAUGUACAGCCUCUGCCAGGGCAGAAAUCAGAACAUGCUGGCCAGUAGGUAAAACCAUUGAUUUAAAUAAUGGUUUCAAAAGUCAUUCUGAAUCAGACUUGGGAAAUUUUAAGAAACAAGUUCUUAGAUGUCCAAAACCCACCAACUACCACUUAUCGGAUCAUUUAAAAAAAUGUAAUGUUGUUUUCUAGUACAGGAUCCUCAAGCAAAAUGUAUUGAAAUAUUAUAUUAGCUUAGUCAAGUAGGUUCAGUGACCGACUGCCCAGAAAAACUGAUAAUGAAAUCCUCUCAGAAUCAGUUUUUGCUUGGUUGUCUUUCCUUUGGAAAGAAACAUGCAGAGUAAAGGAAGGGAAGAUUUAUACCUUGUGGUUCUGCAUCUGAGGUCAGCUCAGGAAGAAGGAAGAGGAAGGAGAAUGGAUUGCAAGAAAAGAAACUAAAUUAAAAAAAUUUCAGGACACAUUCAGGUAUUCAUAUCUUUUUCCCUCUACCUCAUAUUAUGAAUUGUGUUUAUCACCCAUCUUCUUAAAACAGUGUGCAGUUUUGAGCUUUGCAAACUGCUAAAUAAUUAACUUUUAUUAAAUAGAAUGCUAUGUAGAAUCUCAGGAACUUGGCCACCAAAUAGCGUUGCAGAUAGAGAGGGGGUGGUGCGCUAUAGUCACAAUGGAUAUUGUGGCAUCCUUGUAAAGCUUUUUUCCACAGUGUUCAUAGACAUCUUUCUCAGGGUGCAAGGCCUUGCGUGCACUGCUUCCUUCUGCUUCGAACAUUCUCUUUCCCCACCUCCUGCACCUUGCCCGUUUAACUCAGACUCAAUUUUCAAAUCUCAGUACACAUGCCUUUUCUAGGGAGGCUUUCUAAUUCCCCAGACUAGCUUGGAUUCCUUUGUUGUAGUCUCAUAUACUUUGUACAAGAUCUUUAA